ACUAAGAAAAACUAUCAAUUUGGAAGCAUGUCAAAAAGUUGUAUCAUUUUCUCACCUUUUUUCUUUGGUUUAUUGCUCCUGGUUCUGGUUGCUUUCAUCUCUGAAAAAGGAGGUGUGGAGGUCAACCGAUAUCCUGUAGUCCUGGGAGUGGCAGCUCUUUCGGAUACAGAGUUCAGGGGACUUGUGAAGGUGGUUGCAACACUUAUUGUAAUUCACUUGUGCAUCCGGGUGUGAAAUCGGGGCAGUGCUUUCGGCUUGUCACUCCCGCACCUGUUCCACAGUAUCUUUGCUUGUGUUGUGCCACUUGAUGCGAAAAUUCCUUGUAACGUCCUGAUGACUUGAGUUUUCAUUGUACCAGCACCAUCAUACACAAUAUUCUAUCCCUUUCUCUCACAAAUGUAAUCCCAAGAUAAGCAAUGAAUGAAUGAACACUCCCGGUAUUUAUGUUUAUUUUAUUUU